GACGAACGCUGGCGGCGCGCUUAACACAUGCAAGUCGAACGGAAAGGCCUGCUUUCCCUUGUGGAUUGCGGGUACUCGAGUGGCGAACGGGUGAGUAACACGUGAGUGAUCUGCCCCCAACUUGGGUAUAAGCCUGGGAAACUGGGUCUAAUUCCCGAUAGGACUGCAGGGUGGUGCCUGUGGUGGAAAACGAUUUUCUAGUGGUUGGGGAUGAGCUCGCGGCCUAUCAGCCUGUUGGUGGGGUAAUGGCCUACCAAGGCGGCGACGGGUAGCCGGCCUGAGAGGGUGGACGGCCACAUUGGGACUGAGAUACGGCCCAGACUCCUACGGGAGGCCAGUGGGGAAUAUUGCACAAGGGGCGGAAGCCUGAUGCAGCGACGCCGCGUGGGGGAUGACGGCCUUCGGGUUGUAAACUCCUUUCGACCGCGAGGAAGCCACCUGGUUGGAAGGGUGGUGACGGUAGUGGUAGAAGAAGCACCGGCUAACUACGUG
rnacentral:rRNA from 1 species